rnacentral:lncRNA from 1 species
GGUCUACUAUCAACCACCACAAAAAUAAAAAACAAGGGCAUGGAUCCACAGGAAAAAUACUCAGGAGCUCGAAUCUGGCCUCAAUUUUCUCCAAUUCCAAGUAUAUUAAAAGAUACAUGGAUUUGAAUUUUGAGGAUCAUGAAUCGAGUUGCUUCGAUUUAACCUCAAAGCAACUCGAUCUUGUUGCCUAAAUUGGUAGGACUUCAGCCAACCAAAAAUCAAAGAGAAUGGUGAAGAAUUAAG